rnacentral:misc_RNA from 1 species
GAUGAAGAACGCAGCGAAAUGCGAUAAGUAAUGUGAAUUGCAGAAUCCAGUGAAUCAUCGAAUCUUUGAACGCACAUUGCGCCCGCCAGCAUUCUGGCGGGCAUGCCUGUUCGAGCGUCAUUUCAACCCUCGACCUCCCUUUGGGGAAGUCGGCGUUGGGGACCGGCAGCACACCGCCGGCCCUGAAAUGGAGUGGCGGCCCGUCCGCGGCGACCUCUGCGUAGUAAUCCAACUCGCACCGGAACCCCGACGCGGCCACGCCGUAAAACACCCAACUUCUGAACGUUGACCUCGAAUCAGGUAGGACUACCCGCUGAACUUAAGCAUAUCAAAUAAGCGGAGGA